CCAGGUAAUGUUUCAGGUUAUAACCAGGUUAUAACCUGGUUAUAUCCUGAGACAUUACCUGGUUAUAACCUGGUUAUAACCUGGUUUUAACCUGAAACCUUCC
rnacentral:miRNA from 1 species